rnacentral:rRNA from 1 species
GACGAACGCUGGCGGCGUGCUUAACACAUGCAAGUCGAACGAGAGCGACCGGUGCUUGCUGGGGUCAAUCUAGUGGCGAACGGGUGAGUAACACGUGGGUAACCUGCCCAUCAGAGGGGGAUAACAUUCGGAAACGGAUGCUAAAACCGCAUAGGUCCUUUAACCGCAUGGUUGAAGGAGGAGAAGAGGCGCAAGCUUCUGCUGAUGGAUGGACCCGCGGUGCAUUAGCUAGUUGGUGAGGUAACGGCUCACCAAGGCCGUGAUGCAUAGCCGACCUGAGAGGGUGAUCGGCCACAUUGGGACUGAGACACGGCCCAAACUCCUACGGGAGGCAGCAGUAGGGAAUCUUCCGCAAUGGACGCAAGUCUGACGGAGCAACGCCGCGUGAGUGAAGAAGGUUUUCGGAUCGUAAAACUCUGUUGUUAGAGAAGAACAAGUGCUAGAGUAACUGUUAGCGCCUUGACGGUAUCUAACCAGAAAGCCACGGCUAACUACGUGCCAGCAGCCGCGGUAAUACGUAGGUGGCAAGCGUUGUCCGGAUUUAUUGGGCGUAAAGCGAGUGCAGGCGGUUCCUUAAGUCUGAUGUGAAAGCCCCCGGCUCAACCGGGGAGGGUCAUUGGAAACUGGGGAACUUGAGUGCAGAAGAGGAGAGUGGAAUUCCAUGUGUAGCGGUGAAAUGCGUAGAUAUAUGGAGGAACACCAGUGGCGAAAGCGACUCUCUGGUCUGUAACUGACGCUGAGGCUCGAAAGCGUGGGUAGAGCACACGAUAUUAUACCCUCGUGAACCCCGCGCCAUACAAUGAGUGCUCUAUGUGGGAGUUUCCCUCCCCUUCAUCGCUGCCGUUACUAAAUUAUUCACUCCCCCUGCUGAGUACUACCGCCGCGUUGAUACUCCUCGGAAUUGUUGACGACCCCCCCCACCGGCGGCAGCAUCGUGUUUAUUUCUUCGAUGCGCGACGAACCUUCUUACCUCUUGUCGUCCUUUCACCACUCUCGACAUAGAUCUUUCCUUUCUUGUGACCUUGUGACAGGUGGUGCAUGGUUGUCGUCAGCUCGUGUCGUGAGAUGUUGGGUUAAGUCCCGCAACGAGCGCAACCCUUAUUCUUAGUUGCCCGCAUUGAUGUUGGGCACUCUCGUGAGAUGCUGGCGACAUACACUCAGAAGGAGGUGAUGACGACNAAUCAUCUUGCUCCUUCUUACGUGAGCUACACCCAUGCUACUAUUGUAGGGCUACACGAGCGCCGCCUCUCGAGGGGAACACCUCUCCUCAAAUCCCUCUCCUUAUAGAGAUAGCGUGCAGCCCCCCCACACCAGGACGGAAUCCUUUUAAUUAUCGAACACCACGCCCCCGUAAAUACUUUCUCUGGGCU